GAUGAAGAACGCAGCGAAAUGCGAUACUUGGUGUGAAUUGCAGAAUCCCGUGAACCAUCGAGUCUUUGAACGCAAGUUGCGCCUCAAGCCAUUAGGUUGAGGGCACGUCUGCCUGGGCGUCACAUAUCGUUGCCUGAUGCCAGUUUCCUCGUGAUGGGUGACUGUGCAGGGCGAAUGAUGGCUUCCCGUGAGCAUUGUUGCCUCAUGGUUGGUUGAAAAUUGAGUCCUUGGUAGGGAGCGCCGUGAUAGAUGGUGGUUGAGUGACGAACGAGACCCUAUCAUGUGAGACCCCUACCGAAUUUGGCCUUCAUGACCCACAUGCGUCUUUGGAACGCUCAUGACGAGACCUCAGGUCAGGCGGGGCUACCCGCUGAGUUUAAGCAUAUCAAUAAGCGGAGGA
rnacentral:misc_RNA from 1 species